rnacentral:lncRNA from 1 species
UUCGUCUUAGCCACGCAGAAGUCGCGUGUCUAGGUGAGUCGCGGUGGGUCCUCGCUUGCAGUUCAGCGACCACGUUUGUUUCGACGCCGGACCGCGUAAGAGACGAUGAUGUUGGGCACGGAAGGUGGAGAGGGAUUCGUGGUGAAGGUCCGGGGCUUGCCCUGGUCUUGCUCGGCCGAUGAAGUGCAGAGGUUUUUUUCUGACUGCAAAAUUCAAAAUGGGGCUCAAGUAUUCAAGUCAAACAACGUUGAAAUGGAUUGGGUGUUGAAGCAUACUGGUCCAAAUAGUCCUGACACGGCCAAUGAUGGCUUUGUACGGCUUAGAGGACUUCCCUUUGGAUGUAGCAAGGAAGAAAUUGUUCAGUUCUUCUCAGGUAUGUAGUCAUGUUUGUUGCUGAGCAGUGAGUUUUGGCUAGCUUAUGGCAAGGUGAUUUAAUAGACGUUAAAGUUGA